CACCCCUGGCAAUGGGCAAGGUAACACCUUGUUGGUGCUGUUCUUAUAUCAGUCAGGGGCAGAGCAGAUGGCAGUCCUUUGUUCAUCCUAGCUUGAUGCCUGGCUUAGUGGUCAAAGCUGUAUUAUGCCUAAGACACAUAA